AACGAACGCUGGCGGCAUGCCUAACACAUGCAAGUCGAACGAGACCUUCGGGUCUAGUGGCGCACGGGUGCGUAACGCGUGGGAAUCUGCCCUUGGGUUCGGAAUAACAGCGAGAAAUUGCUGCUAAAUACCGGAUGAUGACGUAAGUCCAAAGAUUUAUCGCCCAAGGAUGAGCCCGCGUAGGAUUAGCUAGUUGGUGAGGUAAAGGCUCACCAAGGCGACGAUCCUUAGCUGGUCUGAGAGGAUGAUCAGCCACACUGGGACUGAGACACGGCCCAGACUCCUACGGGAGGCAGCAGUGGGGAAUAUUGGACAAUGGGCGAAAGCCUGAUCCAGCAAUGCCGCGUGAGUGAUGAAGGCCUUAGGGUUGUAAAGCUCUUUUGUCAGGGAAGAAACGGUGAGUUCUAAUAAAGCUUGCUAAUGACGGUACCUGAAGAAUAAGCACCGGCUAACUACGUGCCAGCAGCCGCGGUAA
rnacentral:rRNA from 1 species